AUACUUAAGUAGUAUUAGUUAUAGUCUUGAAACUUUAAGAAUUUGGCAGUAUUUUAAUUAUUCAGAGGAAUUUGUUUUAUAAUCGAUAUUCCCCGUUAAAUUUUACUAAAAUUUGUAUAUCGUUGUCGAAAGAAUAAAUUUUCUAAGUUUUUUAUUAAAAUAGAUGUCAAAUCAAGGUGCAGUAUAAUUUAGGAAAAAUGAAUUACAAUAAAGUUAUUUAGGAUUAUUAUGAAGGUGGAUUUGAAAGUAAAUUAAUUUUAAAAUAUUUAAUUGAUUAUAACUCUAAAAUAUGU
rnacentral:rRNA from 1 species